AAUUAUUGAGCGCAAUAAACAAUCCCUCCUCUUGGGGUUGCACGCGCAGGGCCUCUGCAGUCGAUGUUUGUGAAUUAACCCCGAGUCUAAAGUGUGGUGGAGGAACCGGAAGGAAAGAGGGAGCCCUCCAGGGAGUAGAAAAUGUCUCCUUUUUUUAAUUGUGGAAGCGGCGGCAGGCUCUUAUUGGACAGGGAGAGCUGAGAGAGUGUUAGCUGACCCCUCAGAGGAAACGUUAAUGCGUGUGUGUGCGCGCGCAGGAAUGCAGCGGCAACCGCUCUUAUCUCCAUUGCCCUCACCAUGGAAACUCUGUCAACACACAACUUCAUUGAGCCGUGGGGAGACAAAUCCUAUAUGAACCAAUUUCUCUAGACACGUAAAGAUCUGAUUACAACCAGACCUAUGCUUAACUAGAACCUGCCUGACAACAUGAAGUAGGUUAAAAGGUUUGAAAAGGCAACACUUCUUACCCUGAUCUACAUUCAAGAACUACCGAGAAGCAUACUGAGAAAUAUCUAUCAUUCUGGGAAGAGUCAUAAAGCCAUUUAUAAGCCUUUAGGAAUCUAGAGAAGCACACUUAGAAUCAUUAUUCACUAAUGGAGAAAACUUAGUACAAUAGUGAACCCUCCCAUAAUUAAAAAGUGGCUGGCCGAGAAAAACUACUCCAGGAGGUCACAGAAGAACCAAAAACUUUGCACACCUCACUUUGUCUUCAUGAACAUUAGAAUUAAUGAUCUAACAAUAAGAAAAAGAGACAAAAAUGGCCUCCAAAUGCCCACCUUAUAUUUAACCAAAACCAUCUUGAUGAUCCCCAAGAUAUUUUGUGGACUGAUGAGAAAGAAUUGGAUCUUUUUGGACGGUUUGUCUUGUUACAUCUGAAGUCGGCGGCAGCAUCAUUAUUUUGGGGCCCAAUGACGACCCAUAUAACCUCCAAGUCUGUUCCCUAUCAAAACAUCCUUAAAGGAGAAAGUGGGACUGAGUUAUUGAUGACUAGCUAGAAAUCCUCCAGAGCAGACACACCAGUCCUCCAACACGGCAUCUCCUUGUACGGCUGUGCCUCUGCAACAUGCCACUGCGCCGUCUCUCUGCCAGCCACUACAUCCUCUCAUGUAUACACAAAUAAGCGGUGUCAUCACUCUCCGCUUUGUCACUCUCCUCCUCUGUCUGUGGCGCGCGGCCAAGGAGAUGCUUACUGAAAGAUGAGCUUGCACCAACUGCAAAUGCCGCCUCGCAUCACAGGCCGGUUGGUAAACUAAAACUUAGGGAUAGCCGAUAGGUGUAAACACAACGUAGGAAGUAAUGGCUGAUUUGGAAUCUGUGGUCAGGAAAGGGCUGCUGAUUUAAGAGAACUCGGAUCUAAACGGACCAAAAAUUUCCUCUAUGUGCUCUGAAGGAUUUGUGAAUCAUUUUUUGACUCUGCAACAAGCAGACAAAAUGUAACCACUUCCAGCUUUAACGUUGCCUGUCUUUG